rnacentral:rRNA from 1 species
GCUGUUAGGAGACUAUGUCUUUUAGUGGCGCAGCUAACGUUUUAAGUUGUCCGCCUGGGGAGUACGGCCGCAAGGCUAAAACUCAAAUGAAUUGACGGGGACCCGCACAAGCAGUGGAUCAUGUGGUUUAAUUCGAUGCAACGCGAAAAACCUUACCUACUCUUGACAUACUUGGAAGCUCUUGUAAUGAGAGUGUGCUUUUAAGAACCAAGAUACAGGUGCUGCAUGGCUGUCGUCAGCUCGUGUCGUGAGAUGUUCCGUUAAGUCGGAUAACGAGCGCAACCCUUACCCUUAUUUGCCAGCGAUUCGGUCGGGAACUAUAAGGGGACUGCCGGUGAUAAACCGGAGGAAGGUGAGGACGACGUCAAGUCAUCAUGGCCCUUACGAGUAGGGCUACACACGUGAUACAAUGGGAGAGACAGACGGACGCUAAGCCGCGAGGUGGUGCUAAUCCUAGAAACUCUCUCGUAGUCCGGAUUGGAGUCUGCAACUCGACUCCAUGAAGUUGGAAUUGCUAGUAAUCGCGGAUCAACAUGCCGCGGUGAAUACGUUCUCGGGUCUUGUACACACCGCCCGUCACACCAUGGAAGUGGAUUGCACCAGAAGUAGAUAGUCUAACCUUAGGGAGGGCGUUUACCACGGUGUGCUUCAUGACUGGGGUG